UAGGACAGAGCCCAGAAAACAAGUCGGGGGAGGGAGGGUGCAAAGAUCAAGAUAAACUCCUCUCCCCAAAUCAUGUUUCAAUUCCUCAGUUUUACCUCCUUAGUCAACAGGGAGCCAUCUCUCUAGUUUCCCAGGCAAACCCUUAGGAACUGGGGCUUUAUUUGUGUGUUUUUAACCCAUUGUACAGAUUAUGAUUCCAUUAGUGAAGCCACACCUUGGGGGCCAUAGUGCCUUUCAUCUGCAAAGGGGCUCUGCAAAGACUGGUCAGUAAAAAUUAAACAUUUUAAUCUCUCAACGCCUCAUGGCUGCGAUAUUCCCCUCCUGUGUCAGCCAAGAGAGAAACAGCCGUGUUCAUCUACGAGCUCCUGGAGGAGCAGAGGCCACUCAGCCCCUGAUACUAUCUUGGGUGCCAUGUGUGUGUGGACCGUUUACGAUCCUGCAUGACAGAAAUCAGGUGCUGUGCCCACCCUGGGCCACCUUGGGGGCCAAGAGAGCUGAUGGUCACAUCCGGGGGGGUGGACAGAUAGGAAGAGGAGCACACCAGUCAAUGCAUGAGCCCGUUUCCAGCGAUCAGCGCCACGAAGGUCUGCUCUCUGGUGUAAACACGGCCUCAGCUAAAAGGUUGAAGUAAUGAUGAAGCUUCUCUGGAUUCAUUAUGUUCGCCGGGUUUCUCUCCCCCGUGGGAGCUGUGAUGUCAGAUAAGUGGCUUUUGGAAAGUGGGUGGUCAGGCUGCUGGCCUCCUUCGGGACUGGCCAGGGCAGGCUCAGUGGGUGUUGGCUGCAGAGGGAAGAUGUGUUGGAGGGAGGCAGCAGGUGCACAGGUGUGUGGACAAAUAUGUGGACAGAUAUGUGCACAGGUGUGUGGACAGGUGUGUGUGUGGACA